CAAAGGACAAUGCAUAUCAAUAUUAUAUUGGCUUGUAUACAUCCCUGGCUGCAAUAGCAUUUUUUUCUGUAUCUUUCGUCAUCUUCUGUGCAAGAAAAGAAACCUGUGUAUCACAUCCAAGUGAAGAAAGGCACAAAAAUAAAGAGAAUGACUGCAGCAGCAACACAAGACAAGAGAACAGCAGUUUUAUUGAAAGAACCAACUCUUUAUAUGAAGGAAUAAUAACAGCUAAAGAAUGUCACAACUCAGGUGCUUCAAAUGCAUGAAGUGAAGAACAUUUAUUGGGAAAACUCUCUUGUUUCUGAUUUAGUAAGCUGCAUGCUCAUUUUAUCUGACCUUCAGCAUGAUAAUUAUCACACUGAUUGUGGCACUUGCAUGACUCACACAGCAGUGUUUUUACUAAGUAACUGCAGACCCCAGAGUCAACUUCCUCUAUACAAUAUAAAAUAUU